ACAGAGGUGGCAAGCGUUGUUCGGAAUCACUGGGCUUAAAGGGUGUGUAGGCGGUUUGGUAAGAAUUCUGUGUACGCCCCGGGCUCAACCCGGGAACAGCAGGAUGUACUGCCUGACUUGAGGCGAGUAGAGGUCACUGGAACUCUGGGUGGAGCGGUGAAAUGCGUAGAUAUCCAGGGGAACGCCGAUGGCGAAGGCAGGUUACUGGGCUCGUCCUGACGCUGAGGCACGAAAGCGUGGGAAGUGAACAG
rnacentral:rRNA from 1 species